GCUGGGCUUGAACCUGCGGCCCUCCUGCCCCUGGGAUGACAGGCACGCACCACCACCACCGUGUCCAGCUUCCGAGAACUCCUCGCACCCAGCAGAGGAGAGGGAUCUGGUAUCCAGAUGCCCAGCGGGAAUGGUGCACACGAUCGAGCGUUUCCUGGUGCCACAGCCUCAGGCCCCGGCGCCCUACCAGGCCAGCUUCGGCCCUGUGAAGGAGCUGUUGUUCCUGUCUUACCGCUGGGGGACCCGGGCUCAGAGACGCUGGGACGGCAGCUGAAGGGUGCACAGUGAAGAGCGGGCCUGCCCAGGCGGGGCGGAGGCGUGCGGCCCGUGAGUCACCCCGCUGCAGCGCCGGCCUGGCCGGCCCGGGCCCGGGCUGUUUUGGACAUCAGGCGGAGCUGGGCCCGGAGAACGCGGUUCUAAGCCGGAAUUUUCAGGGCCUCCAGCUUGCUCUGAGUGUCCCGUCCUGUCCACUUGCAGCAUUUGACAAAAAUAAAGGAAAAGCGCAAAAAAAACAAAAAAAACAAAAAAAAAAAACAAAGAGGGGGAGCAUCUUCCAUCUUCCAAAGCUGCCUCACCCCCUUCCGAGCGCGGACGCCGUGUCCCCCGCCUGCUUCCUGCCCUCGCAGACCCCGCGCUCCUCACGGAGGCUCAGCGAGUGCUCCCCACGGAGCAGAACGCAGCGCGCUGCCUGGAACCUUCCUGCGGCUGAGCCUCUUCCUACAUCAAGCCGGGUCCUCGGGAGGGAGGCGUCUGCUCCCCGCCGCUCCUCUACUCCCAUCCAGGCUCCUUCCGGUCUCUGGACGCUGAGCUUGCCUCCUCUAGGCGGAG